rnacentral:rRNA from 1 species
GGUGAACGCUGGCGGUGCGCCUAAUACAUGCAAGUCGAACGAGAAGCUGGAUUUAUUCAGUGGAAAGUGGCGGACGAGCGAGUAACACGUAACUAGUUGCCCCGUACUCAGGGAUAACACGGCGAAAGUCGUGCUAAUACCGGAUGGUCUCGUAAGAGUAAAGCUUUUGCGGUACGGGAGACGGUUGCGGACUAUCAGCUUGUUGGUAGGGUAAUGGCCUACCAAGGCUAUGACGGAUAGCUGGUGUGAGAGCAUGACCAGCCGCGAUGGGACUGAGACACGGCCCAUACUCCUACGGGAGGCAGCAGUAAGGAAUCUUCCGCAAUGGACGAAAGUCUGACGGAGCGACACCGCGUGAAGGAUGAAGGCUUUAGGGUCGUAAACUUCUUUUCUGAGGGAAGAAAAUCUGACGGUACCUCAGGAAUAAGCCCCGGCUAAUUACG